GAAUGUCAAAUUUCUAGUAUGAGAAGUUAACGAUUUAAGUCCUUCUUAAAUGAGGCCAUUUACCCAAAGAGGGUGCCAGGCCCGUAUAACGUUAAUGAUUACUAGAUGGCAUUUCCAAAGAGUCGUGUUGCUUGAUAGUGCAGCACUAAGUGGGUGGUAAACUCCAUCUAAAACUAAAUAUAACCAUGAGACCGAUAGUAAACAAGUACCGUGAGGGAAAGUUGAAAAGAACUCUGAAUAGAGAGUUAAAUAGUACGUGAAACUGCUUAGAGGUUAAGCCCGAUGAACCUGAAUAUCCGUUAUGGAAAAUUCAUCAUUAUGAUUUUAAUAUUUAUAAUAUUAUAAUAAUGGUGUGCAUUUUUUCUAUAAAGGACAUUGUAAUCUAUUAAUAUAAAUUAAUUUAUCAUAAGAUCAUUUGCGUUAGUUUAUUCAAAUUAUUUUGCUUGCAAUUUAAUAUCGAAUAAAUGCUUUUGAUUUGAUAAAGUGUUGAUAGAUUUAUUAUAUAUAGUGCUUAAAUAUUUAUAUUUUAUAAUAGCAUAUUAAUCAAUGAUUUUUGUGUUCAUUAUAUGCACUUGUAUGAUUAACAAUGCGAAAGAUUCAGGAUACCUUCGGGACCCGUCUUGAAACACGGACCAAGGAGUCUAACAUAUUUGCAAGUUAUUGGGAAUAAAAACCUAAUAGCGUAAUUAACAUAACUUAUUUAAUGGGAUUAGUUUUUAGCCUAUUUAUAGUCUAUUAAUUCAAUCCCGGGGCGUUCUAUACAGUUAUGUAUAAUAAUAUUUAUAUUAUUUAUACCUCUAACUAGAACGUACCUUGAGCAUAUAUGCUGUGACCCGAAAGAUGGUGAACUAUACUUGAUCAGGUUGAAGUCAGGGGAAACCCUGAUGGAAGACCGAAACAGUUCUGACGUGCAAAUCGAUUGUCAGAAUUGAGUAUAGGGGCGAAAGACCAAUCGAACCAUCUAGUAGCUGGUUCCCUCCGAAGUUUCCCUCAGGAUAGCUGGUGCAUUUAAAAAUUAUGUAAAAUAAUCUUAUCUGGUAAAGCGAAUGAUUAGAGGCCUUAGGGUCGAAACGAUCUUAACCUAUUCUCAAACUUUAAAUGGGUAAGAACCUCACCUUUCUUGGUAUGAAGGUUGUGGUUGUGAUAUAAUGUGCCCAGUGGGCCACUUUUGGUAAGCAGAACUGGCGCUGUGGGAUGAACCAAACGUAAUGUUACGGUGCCAAAAUUAACAACUCAUGCAGAUACCAUGAAA
rnacentral:rRNA from 1 species